rnacentral:piRNA from 1 species
CCCUUUCUCUUCCCAGGUAACUAGUAG